rnacentral:tRNA from 1 species
GGUAGGAUGGCUGAAGUAAAGCGGUGGACUGUAGUCCCAUAGAUAGAGGUGUAAAUCCUCUUCCUUCCA